CAGAUUCCAGGUGCCAGCUGCUAAGGGCAAUUUUUCCCUGCUUUCCAGGAGGCUCCAGAUAAAGGAAAGGAAAGGACAAGUGGUAAUGGAAAUGUACAGCACUCAAAUGCUCAAAUAGGGGAAGGUUUACAUGUGCAAGCAGCCCUGCUCUGCUAUGUGCUCCUCACCAUAAGCCCAUAGUGGUGUGAAAACCAACCAGGGACUGAAACCUCCGAAACUUGGCUAGAAUGCAAGAACAAUAGCUUCAACUAUGAGCUCCCCUGUGAUGAUGAUUAAGCAACAAGAGAAGAAAGGUUCCUGAGUGCCACGUUCCCAGCUGCUUUCCUCCACGACACACUUCUGCCAUGAUAUUCUGCCUCACCUCAUCCCCAAGGAAUGGAGCCAACUAUAUAUGGAUAGUGACCUCUGAAACU